AUUGAACGCUGGCGGAAUGCUUUACACAUGCAAGUCGAACGGCAGCACGGACUUCGGUCUGGUGGCGAGUGGCGAACGGGUGAGUAAUACAUCGGAACGUGCCCAGUCGUGGGGGAUAACGUAGCGAAAGCUACGCUAAUACCGCAUACGAUCUAAGGAUGAAAGCGGGGGAUCGCAAGACCUCGCGCGAUUGGAGCGGCCGAUGGCAGAUUAGGUAGUUGGUGGGGUAAAGGCUCACCAAGCCGACGAUCCGUAGCUGGUCUGAGAGGACGACAGGCCACACUGGGACUGAGACACGGCCCAGACUCCUACGGGAGGCAGCAGUGGGGAAUUUUGGACAAUGGGCGCAAGCCUGAUCCAGCCAUUCCGCGUGCAGGAUGAAGGCCCUCGGGUUGUAAACUGCUUUUGUACGGAACGAAAAGGCUCUGGUUAAUACCUGGGGCUCAUGACGGUACCGUAAGAAUAAGCACCGGCUAACUACGUGCCAGCAGCCGCCGUAA
rnacentral:rRNA from 1 species